rnacentral:rRNA from 1 species
AAACCAGCACCUCAAGUGGUCAGGAGGAUUAUUGGGCCUAAAGCAUCCGUAGCCUGUUCUAUAAGUUUCCGGUUAAAUCCAUUAGCUCAACUAAUGGGCUGCCGGAAAUACUGUAGAACUAGGGAGUGGGAGAGGUAGACGGUAUUCGGUAGGAAGGGGUAAAAUCCUUUGAUCUAUUGAGGACCACCUGUGGCGAAGGCGGUCUACCAGAACACGUUCGACGGUGAGGGAUGAAAGCUGGGGGAGCAAACCGGAUUAGAAACCCGGGUAGUCC